CCUACGGGUGGCAGCAGUAGGGAAUCUUGCACAAUGGGCGAAAGCCUGAUGGAGCAACGCCGCGUGCAGGAUGAAGGCCUUCGGGUUGUAAACUGCUUUUAUAAGCGAGAAAUAUGAUGGUAACUUAUGAAUAAGGAUCGGUUAACUACGUGCCAGCAGCCGCGGUCAUACGUAGGAUCCGAGCAUUAUUCGGAGUGACUGGGUGUAAAGAGGUGCGUAGGUGGCAUAAGAAGUAGCUAGUGUAAUUUGGUGGCUCUACCAUUCAGACUAUUAGCUAAACUGUUGAGCUCGAGACCGUGAGGAGUAACUGGAAUGUCUAGUGUAGGAGUGAAAUCCGUAGAUAUUAGGAAGAACACCGAUAGCGUAGGCAGGUUACUGGGACGGUUCUGACACUAAGGCACGAAAGCGUAGGGAGCAAACGGGAUUAGAUACCCUGGUAGUC
rnacentral:rRNA from 1 species